rnacentral:tRNA from 1 species
GGUGGCUCAGUGGUAGAGUGCUUGCCUUGCAUGCAUGAGGCCCUGGGUUUGAAUCCCCAGCACCA